UGACAGAGGGGGGACAAUGAACCCCGGGGUUUUUACGGGCGCCGUACAUCCCGGUGGCGAGUCAGUGGCGCGACCGGCCCUAUUCGUG
rnacentral:ncRNA from 1 species